AUCCCUUGGGGAUUGUGUUAAAAUGCAGAUUCUGAUUCAGUAGGUCCAGAUGGAAUGGGGCCCGAGAGUCUGCAUUUCUAACAAGCUCUCAGGAGAUUCUGA
rnacentral:pre_miRNA from 1 species